CCUCUUUCUUCCCCUCCUCUCUAGUCUCCAUUCUUCCCCGACUCUCUCUCUCUCUCUCUCUCUCUCUCUUUCUUUCUCUUUCCCUCUCUGUGUCUUCCUGAUUAAUAUAUCGGGGCAACAAUGGGGGCUCGCUGCGGCUCUAGAGUCUCCCUCUGUUGGUGGCCCGCCCACUUCAAAUUCUCCAUCCGACGAUGGGAGCGAUGGCGUCCCAGGGUUUGGGGAGUUCCGGCUGGAGGAGCUGAGGGCCGUCACCGCCGGCUUCUUCCCCGACCACAUCGUCUCCGAGCACGGCGAGGUGGUCCCCAGCGUCGUCUACCGCGGCCAACUCCUGCACACCGAUCGCAUCGUCGCCAUCAAGCGCUUCAACAAGAGAAAGCGAGAUUCGGGGUUAGCUUCAGAGCGAGGGGCUGACCAACCUCGUCGGCUGCUGCUGUGAGGGCGACGAGAGGUUGCUGGCCUCCAAGUCCAUGCCCCACGAAACCCUAUCCAAGAACCUCCUGUUUACGCACUCCACCCCUCUCUCGUCUUCUUUGAUUAUUUUCUCAGCGAAAUAAUCUCGAAAUUUUUAUUAUCCAUAUGUCGAACAUGUUCUCGUUCAGUUUCUUGAUUCGUAUAAUACGAUCUCUGUGGCAAGUUGACACCAGGCUGGGGUUUUGGCUUUGGUCAUCUUAUCAUUAUUUUCAACUCGUUGUGGUAUUAUUCGUUUAGUUCUUGAUUUAUGAACACGGUGGUGGUAGAGACGGUAUUUUUAGAUUUUGCAGAAUAAUUUUACAUAGUCAGGUCACUCUUUCAGGCACCAUUUUCUUGAUUUAUAUCGACAAAUAACUGGAUGCUAUGACAGAUGAAUUCCUCGCACCAUACUUCAUAGAUUCUCUUGUUCUAUGCUGCUAUGCUAUAUAGAGUCAUAUUUCUUGAAUCAAUUUUGGAAACUGAUGGUGGUUAGUGGUUAUGGUACAUCGGUACUUACAGAUUUAUGUAGAGUAAUUUUAGAUAUUCCAAAAUAUAUUUGGGCAUGAUUUCAUAGAUCUGUGAUCUAUAUUGACAAAUUUAGUUAUCAAAAGAAAGAGACUUCUUUACCACUUCCAAAACCAGGUCUUUUGGUUCCACCUGAUCUACUGCUCUGUGUAUGUUCCUAUAUUUGAACUGAGAUGGUAAUGUGUGCAGGAUCACAGGAUCAGCAUUUUUUAAUCGCAAAUGAAUGGGGGUGCUGAUGAUAAUGGUGUAUUAGAGAGGAUACACAGCCCAUGAGUUGGGCAAUGAGAAUAACAGUAGCACUGUAUUUAGCACAAAGUUUUGGAGUAUUGCACCAGCAGGGUGGACACUAUAUCACAAUUUCGAUUCAUACAGAGUUCUCUUCGAUCAUCGCUGAGGUAUUGGUGUGUCUUACUAUUGGCUUCUCAUAAUGGUGCUGUGUUUGUUGCUAUUUGCUGUUUUGCCAUCGGGCAUUUGAUAGGAGGAUAAUUGCCGGCUGUCCUGUUCUGGCCCCAUGAAGAACUGUAGAGAUGGAAAGAGCUAUGGUACCAACUUGGCCUUCCUUGCCUCUGGAGUACCUCAGGCCAGGAAGAGUGACAGCAGAGAGCAUGGUAUACAGCUUUGGAACUCUUUUGCUUGACCUUCUUAGGGGAAAGCAUAUUGCCCAAAGUCAUGUGGGGACUUUCAAAUGGAAUGAAUCUGGUUGUAGAGAGAGUGAUGGUGAAUGCAUUUCAUUUGCUGUAUCUAGAGUCCAUUUUGCUGCCAGAUGGAUGCCCCUUUUAAAGUAUUUAUGCUCUCUGUAUCUCCCCCUGGGGAAGAUUGUGCCAGUUUGGACCUUAACUGCUAGACAUGAAAUAUUAGAGAAGUUUGGAUAUGAGGAUUGUGAGGGAGUUGCCAAUGAGCUUCUUUCCAUGUCUGGACCAGCCAAAUGCAGGAGAUGAACUCCAAGAAACAUGGAGACUGCUUUUCAGGUUAAAGAUUUCAGGAUAACAGUAGAUUACCAAUCACAGGUUUAUACAAUCAGCCCAUAACCUGCACGUAGUUACACUAAUGACAUUGAUUUAUGCAUGUAAUAUAGAAGAUCUGUUAUUUGGUCGUUCUUUCUAGCGGCGAAUAUUGCUAGAGUGGCAAUUUCAUAGCUCCGGUAAUUCUAGCUUAAACCUAGCCUCUCAGCUCCCGGUAACAAGUGGAUUGUGAUGUACAAUGCAUGAAUUUUUUAUUUGCAGCUGAGUUUUGUUGCAUUAGAUUUGUACAAAUGGUAUCUCAUAGCUUUACGCGGGUGUGAGAGCUUUUGUAAUGAACGGGAGAUCCAUCAAGUUCGAAUAGGAGGCCUCACAAUUUGCUUUGAUAAAUGAUAUGCCGCAAGAUUAGGACUAGAACCACCGGCAGUCUUCAAGCAGCUGUCAUUACCAUAUUGAAGCAGCUGCCCUCAGUCUGGGCGCGGGCAUUGAUGCCCAAAGAUGCUGCUGUUUUGGAUGCUGAAAAGAAUAAAAGAAUGUGCCAUAUCGUGGAUGACAAUGAAUCGGUUGUUAGAAAUUCACUUGUCAAAGAGAUUGUUGAAGAGAUGCGGCAUUUCACACCACAUGGUUUGCUAGCUGGGCCAUUUCAUACGACCGAAAAUAAUAUGCAAUUCAAUAGGAUUUAACAGACUCCGGAUUGGAUAUCAUGCAAGCUGUCUUUGGAUGAAUUAACCUGGAGCCAUGUUGACCUUCAUGACAAGAUUUUCUAGCAAUGAUCAGCUAUGGGCUCCCUCUUGGGCCGUGCUGACAAUACAUGGGACGGACAAACCUGUAUUGAAGGCAAAAUUGUAAUAUGGUUCUUCUCAAAUUCCAUCCGAUUACGAGAGGAUACUCGCCUAGGCAAAAUAUUUCAACCAAAUAUUUUCUGGCUACUUCAAUUCAUUUGAAAAUACAAAGUAUCUGUUAAACUUCAACCAACAGCAAUCCGAGUGUCUGCCAUCAAUUAAUGACUG